UGAGGAAUAUUGGGCAAUGGACGGAAGUCUGACCCAGCCAUGCCGCGUGAAGGAUGAAGGCGUUCUGCGUUGUAAACUUCUUUUACCUGGGAAGAAACCACCAUUUUCUAAUGGUGUUGACGGUACCAGGGGAAUAAGCACCGGCUAACUCCGUGCCAGCAGCCGCGGUAAUACGGAGGGUGCAAGCGUUAUCCGGAUUUACUGGGUUUAAAGGGUGUGUAGGCGGACUUUUAAGUCUGGGGUGAAAUCUCCGAGCUCAACUCGGAAACUGCCUUGGAUACUAUUAGCCUUGAAUUAUGUUGAGGUUGGCGGAAUAUAACAUGUAGCGGUGAAAUGCAUAGAUAUGUUAUAGAACACCGAUUGCGAAGGCAGCUAACUAAGCAUAUAUUGACGCUGAGGCACGAAAGCGUGGGGAUCAAACAGGAUUAGAUACCCCCGUAGUCC
rnacentral:rRNA from 1 species